GUGAAUCAUCGAAUUUUUGAACGCAAAUUGCACUCUCCUCGGAGAGUGUGCCCGUUUGAGGGUCAGCCUAUAAAAAUCGACAUCGUUGCUGUUUCGCGGUUGUGUUCGUCGGAAAUUGGGUCAUCUUAAAUCCUUUUGAUUUAGGCGACUUAAAAUGUUCCUUUGGUUCCAUGAACGUUUCUAAGAUCUAUUUCUUUACACGUUUAAGGUAUCGAUAUUUCCUUGACGUAACCAUCAUAUCAGGUCGCUUUCAUAAC
rnacentral:misc_RNA from 1 species